UACGAAGGGGGCUAGCGUUGCUCGGAAUUACUGGGCGUAAAGCGCACGUAGGCGGCUUUCUAAGUCGGGGGUGAAAUCCUGGAGCUCAACUCCAGAACUGCCUUCGAUACUGGAAAGCUCGAGUCCGGGAGAGGUGAGUGGAACUGCGAGUGUAGAGGUGAAAUUCGUAGAUAUUCGCAAGAACACCAGUGGCGAAGGCGGCCAGCUGGUCCGAUACUGACGCUGAGGCGCGAAAGCGUGGGGAGCAAACAGG
rnacentral:rRNA from 1 species